GGGUUACUGAAUAACACUGAUGGUGGUUUUAAAGAACCCAAUCCAAAUCAUGAUUGCAAAUCUUGGGAUGGCCUAGCCCACCAUCAUUUUUUACAAAACCUAUAAGUAAGACCCAUUAUUGUCCCUCUCUGUGUCCAAAAUUAAUUUUAUUUCCAAAUAUACCCUUUUCGUUCAACCACAAGAAAAGGAUGAAGAAAAACAGAAAAACAAAAACAAAACUCCAUUCAAAAUAAUCAUUCACAUGACGCCAUAAACAAUAAUCAUGAUCAUAAUGGAACCGAAACAUGAAAAUCUUUUAGACUCUUAUAACCAGCCGCCUUCCAUGCUUACACAUGCAUGAUAGUUGUGUCAGAGUGAGGAGAGACACGUCCUUACCCCUACCCUUUCUCUUCUUCUUCUCCUUCUUUUUUUUUUUUUUUUCCUCUAUAAAUUAACAUUCACAUUCUUCAUUUUACUCUAUCUCACAUUUUUUUCAAUUCUUAAACACACCCUUUUGUUUCCUCAACCAACUUCUUCUUCCAAUUCCUUUCAAAAGGUAGUGAGAUUUUUAUUUUUAUUUUGAUAGAGAUGGAAAGAUUGAACACAGAGUUGUACUACCAAAACUGUCACAUAAUGAAAGAGAAUGAAAGGCUAAGGAAGAAAGCACAACUUCUGAAUCAAGAGAAUCAAGAACUUUUGUCUCAACUCAAACAAAAGCUCUCAAAUGGUGGUAAUGAAUCAAAAAUCAAUGCUUCAAACAACAUGCUUGACCUCAACCUUGGAUCAAGUUCAGCUCAAAAUGGUUCUAAUUCCACCAAUUAAUUAAUUAAUCCAAUUAGAGAUAAUUAAUUAAGAAGCAUCAUCAUCAUGACCCAACCAGGAGACUUUUUUUUUUUUUUUUUUGUGAAAAAGAAAAAAUCAAAGUGAGCAAUGUAGUGGUUAGUUAUAUUCUCUGUUGAUUAAAAAAAUGUAGUAGCAGGGUACUAUCACUUCCAUUUCAUUGUUAAUUUUACCAUAUCUUCUAUGAAUCUGUUUUAGAUAUGAAUUUCUGAACAUGGAUAUGUAAUGAUGUAUUAGACUAUCUUCUACUAGAAAGGAAUAUAAUUUUAUAUAUGUUCAUCUUCU